AGCGAUGAGGCUUCCUCUUUGAAGAUCACAGGUGAGAAGAUUAGGUGCUUUCUCAGAAGCCCAGCAACCUGAUGGGAGUGUGGAGUGAGCAAGACCCAAAUCGGAGCUUCAUCCCUGCAUGGUUCAUUUUGCUUAUUUGGCAAACUUGCCCUGCAGUCCAAACAAAAUAAACUUCUGUCUGGUGAAAAGAAUCAUCAACCAAGUAAACACAACUGAUAUUUUUUUUGGGAAAAAGUGCAAUACUUCUGGCAGAAAAUGUCCUGAUUCAUAAAAAGGUCAAACAAUAUCAUGGCAGUCAAAAUCAGAUCAUUUAAAUGAGGAAAAAAUUAGGGAUAUACAUUCAACAAAACAGUCAUAGACCAUGGAAACAGAAAGUCCCUAAAAAUGUUAAUAAUGUUGAUUUUUAUUGUUUUACCCUUUGUUUUCCAUUUUAUGCAACCAAGAUUUUCCCUUGCACCUUAGAAUGCUUUCUUUAAAAUGUCCUUGCUCUCUUAAUUUUCUGAGUUGCUACUUUCUCAUUUUCCUUGCUGAUUAUAAAACAACUGAAGGAUAAGAAACACAUGUUUUUCUAUAACUGUUUUUAAUUAAAUGUUUGGUAAACUGAAAUGAUUGUAAUUACUCUUUUGUUAUCUUCAAGAAUCUACUCAAGCUUCCUCAGUUUCUCAAAUCAUUCUUGGGCAACAAAUGAACAAGAAAGAGGACGUCUUAUUAUCUGGUGUCUGGCUUGCUGAUUUAAUAACCUAGGAGACAGUGUUUGAAGAACACAAACUCUAAAGUCCUUCACUUAAAAAAAAAAAAAAACUUUCCCAAAUUGCUUACCAUUUGGAAAAAUUGCCUUACCUUCUUCAGUCAUCUCUGAUGUUGUCAUCCUCAGAGUAAGAAGUACGCAUUCAUAAGGAACCAUAACGUCCUUCAGGAAAUCCAGUACACCCUACAAUUUUACCUAAAACUUUGAUGUUGUUUUUUCUGAGCAUUUUACCUUCUAGGGAAAUGGAUCUCAUGCUGUUUAUCAGUUUCUGAAAGUUGUUAUUAAUCUCCCCUCAUCCCAAAAUUGAAGAACUUUGCUUAAAUCUUAGAAUCAGAACUUUGGCUCCAGUAAUAAAGACUUUUCAAUAUCU
rnacentral:lncRNA from 1 species